rnacentral:rRNA from 1 species
UACGGAGGGUGCGAGCGUUGUCCGGAAUCACUGGGCGUAAAGGGCGCGUAGGUGGCCCCUCAAGCGUGCGGUGAAAGUCAGGGGCUCAACCCCUGAUCGGCCGUGCGAACUGGGGAGCUUGAGCACUGUAGAGGCAGGCGGAAUUCCGGGUGUAGCGGUGGAAUGCGUAGAGAUCCGGAAGAACACCGGUGGCGAAGGCGGGUCUCUGGGCCGUUACUGACGCUGAGGAGCGAAAGCGUGGGGAGCGAACAGG